rnacentral:rRNA from 1 species
UACGGAGGGUGCAAGCGUUAUCCGGAUUCACUGGGUUUAAAGGGUGCGUAGGUGGGCAGGUAAGUCAGUGGUGAAAUCUCCGGGCUUAACUCGGAAACUGCCAUUGAUACUAUCUGUCUUGAAUACCGUGGAGGUUAGCGGAAUAUGUCAUGUAGCGGUGAAAUGCUUAGAUAUGACAUAGAACACCAAUUGCGAAGGCAGCUCGCUACACAAUUAUUGACUCUGAGGCACGAAAGCGUGGGGAUCAAACAGG